AUGAAAAUAGUCUAACUGGCAAAAUUGUAGUCUCCAAAAACAUCAUUGUGGGUUCGAAUCCCACUUUUCCUG
rnacentral:tRNA from 1 species